rnacentral:lncRNA from 1 species
CCAUGGACCACACGCCCCUGCUGUGGGAGUGGCUGCCCACCUACAACCUAGGGGCCGGCCAGGGCAACUAUGCAUGCAGCUUGCAUGGCUACAGCGUCAUCCCUGCUGCCCAUCCCUUGCUGCUGCCCGCCCUCCCCUUACCUCAUCACAGGGAUACCCAACCACCACCCCAGGGUCUACAAUGACCACAGCUGGACUAUCACUUGGUACCCUGCCAAUGCCAUCGCCAUCAUGAGAGGCUGUCCCGUCUGCAGGGAUAGGGUGCUGGAGGACUGCUUCACCUUCCUGGGAAUCCUCCUGGCCAUCAUCCUGUUCCCCUUUGGGUUCAUCUGCUGUUUUUCCUGGAGGAAGCAAAGAUGCCCCAACUGCAGAGCAGCCUUU